AUUUCAUUAACUUUUCUCUGCUGACGGAUGGAUAGCAGCAGAUCAGAAAGAGUUGAGGUGUAGCCACCAGUUACUACAGAAGAUAAAGAACAGAGCUGACACCAAUAUAUUUCAGCUGACUGCUUCCUCUGUCCGUCUAAACAAGCUGCUGCACCGAGCUGAGGCUGCAGGGACACAAGAACCCAGACCACAUUUUACCAGAACAUGUUCCUGCAGUAUAUUUAUUUGUAUUAGCAGUCACUUCCCAGCACAACACAAUUAACACAAUCUUAAUAGUAAGGCUUUAUUUACCUUGAUGUGCCUCCUGUAUGUCUGUGACCCUUACAAACUCCCAAACUUAAAUUUUAGCAGCAGACUUCCUGUUCUCUGUGGAUUUUGUGUGCUUGUCUACUUUUAUCAGCUGAGGUUAAUUCAAAUACACCUUUCAAUAUACAUUUUAAAUACAUUUUUUUAAAUUGCCCCUGCCCCGGGUUGGGCUUUGACAAUUAUUUUUAUCUUUGCUACGAGGGACAUGAUUUAACAGAAGAAAAUUACGACAGCUUAUAAUUCAUACGCCAACUUCUGUGAAAUACAUUAACAGCGAUAAGUCUUGUGGCUGUUGGCUCAGAAGAAUUCUAAAGUUUGAAGUAUUUUUUCAUAAUGGUGAAUUUAGAAAAAAAAAGACUAAUCCAACUCGGUUUGCAGCACAAGGUAAACAAAACAGUUCAGUAAAUAAUAGGGUAACCAUAUAUAUGUGUUGUUCAAUUCUCUGAUGGUUUUGCAGGAACAAGGCCAACAACAAUAAAGAAUUUCAUACUGUUACACUUUUAUACUUCUGUUUCUAAUGAAUCUGAAACUAUAUAUUCCUUUAGGUGUUUAAUGCUAGUAGAGAUAAAGAAAGAUCGCUAUGUCUGGACAGUGAUGUCAUCUUCAAAUUGCUUCCAAGUAUGUCUACAGCUUAUCUUUGAUGUGACUGCUGGUAUGUAAAAAAUCUGCUUUUUAUAAAGUGGUGUCAUUGGUCCACAAUGAAAACAACUACAAAAGAACAGAUGAGAAGAUGAUAGGAAUAUGAGUUCUCACAUCUGUGACAGGUGACAACAGACAUCAUGGACGCACAUGUGGAUUGAGACUGAUCUACAGAUAGAUCUCUGACUGACUCACACAGACUCUGUGGGAUCCAGCCUCCAAACGCUGAAAAAUUUUUGAAAAAAGAUGUGUUGCAAUACUAAUUUUUCAUGUAGACAACGAUGUUGAACUGAAGUUACCUUGGCAGCUCACAGAUGAUGUAUUACAGUCUGGGAGCGUAUUCGCUGCUGGCAGAUAAUGCUGGUCAAUCUAUUACUUUAGUCCAGAAUAAAAUGUUGCAGCAACCACUGAAUGACUGGAUGGAUUGCCAUGUCAUAUUUACAGACAUUCCUGAUCCCCAGAAGCUGAAUCCUACUGACUGUGUCGACCUUCUGGCUUUUCUUUUCACACAGUCAUGACCACUGUUCCCUCUAAGCUGCGCGCGUGCGCAAUUGCGCACUGCUGACACGGUCUCUGCGCACAGAAAAUCUGCGCUGCGCACAAAAAAAAAUCCAACCUAAAUUGUAAAUAAAAUAAACACGUAGCAAUUCAUUCCGUGCUAUUUUUCAAUGUGAGUCCGUGAGUGACGGUGACUGGCUGCUGCAGCCAAUGAUGCGAUUCACAUACGUAUUUACCAUAGACUGUAUAUAAUGGUAUUUACGCAGCUAAUAAACGUCAGGCGUCCUUAUGUGCAGCCAUCGUUGUUGUCAUAGAUAUGAAUGAGUAGAUAGGACACGCCCCUUUGAGCUGCGUGCUACAGCGAGGCUAAGCUAGUGGGGGAAAAGUUUCAGUGCAUUCCGUUGAUGUCGACGGCGUGAAAACGGAAACAAGUAUGCUGGCUCACUGUGCUGCAUACAGUUACACACUGCGUCGUAUGAUUGAGACAAGGAAACUUGGAAUGACUUUUCAUAGGUUUCCCAGAGACUAUGGGUUGAGGAGGAAGUGGAAGUUUGUCGGCUUAGACCUGGUGUCAUUCCAUCAGUGUUAAACUUCCCGGCUCAUCUUGGAAGAGUACGUGCCAGAAAGACCACGACCAAGCAGCCUUGAGAUCUUAGGCAGCGUCUCCCUCAGGUCCCUCUCUAUCUCCCCACACAUCCACCAACCACUGGAACACAUCUCCAAAGUUCUGCCAGGCCAGCUCAGCUUCCCCUCAGAAGAAGUGCCGCCACCUGCCAGAUGAAGGAGCCUUUUGGGAGGCAGCUGGCAUCGUGAUUGGACUGUACUUUGGUCUGUUCCAAUCCAGCUUCAGCUCCAGAGACGGCAGGUGGGACGAGUCAACGGAGGCCUGGUGGACGAAGGCUGCAGCUGAGUACAAUCUAGAAAACAAAAGAGGAGGAGUGCAGCGGCCCAGAGCCAGAACAAACAGAUUAGCAUCGUAUGUCUCUUAGAAAACAUCAUAGUAUAGCCUUUGGUAUGAAAAAACACCAUUAUAUACAUCGUAUAUUGUACAAAUAACAAGUCAAAGCAAAGAGACAUACAUUGUAGAAUUGUAGUAAUUGUGGGCUGACUGGCCUUGGCAAUGGUCGUCGGAAUGUGAAUAACACUGACCACACCUCACAGAGGUUAUAAACUGAGGCAACAUCAACCACCACCAGAACUGAAGAAGCCUCUUGGAUGAGAGGUGAAACGUCUUCAAGGAACCUUCUUAAAGUCCAGUUGGAUUGAUUUAAACAACUUUGGAUGACUGAUUUACUUAUUAUCAGUAUUUUAUUUUUUACUGAUUUACGGUAAUAAAUAAAUUAAAAAUUGGCGCUACUUUGGCUCUGAACCUUUAUCUACCUGUGGUCGCUCUGUCUUCUGGAGUGAUUUGAUUGGUUAUACGUCACGAAUAAAACUCCUUUAACGUAACAUCUGUAAACAAAACAAAAACGUAUCAACAAAGUUUUCUGUUAGACUUUGUGUUCUUCUAAGUUUAACUCCAAGAUUUUAAAUACUUUCAUUUACUGCAAAUGAAUAUCUACUCCAAAUGUCUCACUAAUAAUCAUUAUCAGCCUUAAAAAUCCACAAAAACACCCCUCUAUACUCGACCACACUUAGUACAGUCCGGUUCCCCCUUCUAUAAAUCUGCUUGGAAUCAUCCACUUCCUGUUUGUCAAAGUGGCCUUCUACCUGGACAGGUUUUGUUGGAGCUCAUGCAGCAAACAUUUUGGGUAACUGCACUUUAAUAUGGAUGGAUGACACUGAAUUAGAGUCUGUUUUAAUGAGACUGAGUUAAGAUGUGUAGCUCUGUCAUUAAAUAGGAAAUUAUUUCUCAGAAUUCACAGAGAAAAGUCUGAAAUGUUUGCUAGGCUAGCGUCCCACAUGUACUUUGACUCAGCUAAAGCUAACUCUCUCCAGCUUCUGGAUCUCUUGAGUUGCUUGUUAAAAUAUCUUGCUAGAGGUGCUGAAGCUCAGAAAGUCUGAGAUGUUUGUUCAAAAUAAGCUCAUUCUCAAGUCUUAUCUGAACUCUUUUGUUUGAACUUUCCCUAAACUUAGGAGUUAAUGACAGAGCAGCACAUCCAGACUCAGUCUCAUUUAUGUAGAGAUUAAACUUCAGUGUCAUUCAUUGAUGUUAAAGUGCAGUUUUUCAAAUGUUUGUUGCACAUGCUCAUGACCAAACCAGUUCAGGUGGAAGACGAUGUGAAGAGAAAGCUCCAGAGGAUGAAUAUCACACAUUUACAUUGAAAAUAAAUGUCCUUUAAUUAGACAUUGUCAUACAAAAGUUGGAUUUCCCUUUAAUGAUGUUCAAAUCUUUGUUGAGUGUUUUGUUGAUGUUGGUUUCUAAAUGUUUUCUGACACUCGGCCCCAAAGAUUAAAAACUUCUACGACUCACAAGCUGCAACAAUUCACACAUUAUCAACUAUCUUUCUGACUAAACUAAGACAGAGAGUGAAAAACUGCCUGAUUCCUGCAUCAUGAAUGUAAAUCUUUUUGGUUUUUAUGACAGUAAACUGAAUAUAUUUGGGUUUGACAUUUUAUAAACCAAAACAAGAAAUGAAUUACUGGAGAAAACAAUCAAUUACUCCAACAUUACAAGAUACAUACAAUUUGAAUUCAAUUUUAUUUAUAUAACGCCAAAUACAGGUCAAAUUGUCUCAAGACACUUUAUAUUUUUUGGCAUAUUUAAAAUAUGACAAAGUAAGAAAUUUAAACCUCUUGACUAAUCCAAUUUAUUACUCGGUUUUUAAGAGACUAAUCGACAACUAAAAUAACUUUCUCCACUAAAACUAAUAAACAUGAGGUCAAAUAGAAGGAACAGUUUUAAAUGCUGCAGUCCCACGAUGACAAGAAUAAAGUUUGUCAACAAAAACUAAAUCUGCUGGUGGAUUCCAUUGAAGUCCUAGUAAAUGAUAAUAAAGUGUGAUACUAAAGGUUUGUGGUGCUAAAAAUGUCAAAGUAAAGAUAUCAAGUUGAACAUGUGGAUGGAGGUUGAUAAAAGUUGACCUUCUUUCAUUUCUCUGGAGCCGACUCCAUGGAUUUUAUGGAUGGUGGUUAAAGACCUGCUCUUCUAGUCGUCGUCCUUCUAGUCGCUGUAAAAAGUCAGUCCAUCCUGGCCGACUUCAACAUCUCUUCAUGACAACUUGUUCUGCCUCCGACCUUGUGGAAACUCCAGAAACUCGGGAAAACCCAUGGAGACUCGAAGAACUCGUGGAGACUCGAAGAAC